rnacentral:rRNA from 1 species
CUCCUUUGACGUUAGCGGCGGUACGGGUGAGUAACACGUGGGUAACCUACCUAUAAGACUGGGAUAACUUCGGGAAACCGGAGCUAAUACCGGAUAACAUUUGGAACCGCAUGGUUCUAAAGUGAAAGAUGGUUUUGCUAUCACUUAUAGAUGGACCCGCGCCGUAUUAGCUAGUUGGUAAGGUAACGGCUUACCAAGGCGACGAUACGUAGCCGACCUGAGAGGGUGAUCGGCCACACUGGAACUGAGACACGGUCCAGACUCCUACGGGAGGCAGCAGUAGGGAAUCUUCCGCAAUGGGCGAAAGCCUGACGGAGCAACGCCGCGUGAGUGAUGAAGGGUUUCGGCUCGUAAAACUCUGUUAUUAGGGAAGAACAAACGUGUAAGUAACUGUGCACGUCUUGACGGUACCUAAUCAGAAAGCCACGGCUAACUACGUGCCAGCAGCCGCGGUAAUACGUAGGUGGCAAGCGUUAUCCGGAAUUAUUGGGCGUAAAGCGCGCGUAGGCGGUUUCUUAAGUCUGAUGUGAAAGCCCACGGCUCAACCGUGGAGGGUCAUUGGAAACUGGGAAACUUGAGUGCAGAAGAGGAAAGUGGAAUUCCAUGUGUAGCGGUGAAAUGCGCAGAGAUAUGGAGGGAACACCAGUGGCGAAGGCGACUUUCUGGUCUGUAACUGACGCUGAUGUGCGAAAGCGUGGGGAUCAAACAGGAUUAGAUACCCUGGUAGUCCACGCCGUAAACGAUGAGUGCUAAGUGUUAGGGGGUUUCCGCCCCUUAGUGCUGCAGCUAACGCAUUAAGCACUCCGCCUGGGGAGUACGACCGCAAGGUUGAAACUCAAAGGAAUUGACGGGGACCCGCACAAGCGGUGGAGCAUGUGGUUUAAUUCGAAGCAACGCGAAGAACCUUACCAAAUCUUGACAUCCUUUGAAAACUCUAGAGAUAGAGCCUUCCCCUUCGGGGGACAAAGUGACAGGUGGUGCAUGGUUGUCGUCAGCUCGUGUCGUGAGAUGUUGGGUUAAGUCCCGCAACGAGCGCAACCCUUAAGCUUAGUUGCCAUCAUUAAGUUGGGCACUCUAGGUUGACUGCCGGUGACAAACCGGAGGAAGGUGGGGAUGACGUCAAAUCAUCAUGCCCCUUAUGAUUUGGGCUACACACGUGCUACAAUGGACAAUACAAAGGGCAGCUAAACCGCGAGGUCAUGCAAAUCCCAUAAAGUUGUUCUCAGUUCGGAUUGUAGUCUGCAACUCGACUACAUGAAGCUGGAAUCGCUAGUAAUCGUAGAUCAGCAUGCUACGGUGAAUACGUUCCCGGGUCUUGUACACACCGCCCGUCACACCACGAGAGUUUGUAACACCCGAA